rnacentral:rRNA from 1 species
GACGAACGCUGGCGGCGUGCUUAACACAUGCAAGUCGAACGGAAAGGCCCUGCUUUUGUGGGGUGCUCGAGUGGCGAACGGGUGUGUAACACGUGAGUAACCUGCCCUUUACUUUGGGAUAACUUCAGGAAACUGGGGCUAAUACCGGAUAGGAGCUCCUGCUGCAUGGUGGGGGUUGGAAAGUUUCGGCGGUUUGGGAUGGACUCGCGGCUUAUCAGCUUGUUGGUGGGGUAGUGGCUUACCAAGGCUUUGACGGGUAGCCGGCCUGAGAGGGUGACCGGCCACAAAGGGACUGAGAUAGGGGCCAGAGUGCUACGGGAGGCAGCAGUGGGAAAUAUUGCACGAUGGGCGGAAGCAUGAUGCAGCGACGUCGCGUGCUGGAUGACGGUUGUUGGGGUGGAACCCGCUUGAGCCUGUGACGAAGCGUGAGUGACGGUAAUGGGUAAAGAAGCAACGGCUAACUACGUG